AGCAGUCGCCACGGUAAUACAGAGGGUGCGAGCGUUAAUCGGAUUUACUGGGCGUAAAGCGUGCGUAGGCGGCUUCUUAAGUCGGAUGUGAAAUCCCUGAGCUUAACUUAGGAAUUGCAUUCGAUACUGGGAAGCUAGAGUAUGGGAGAGGAUGGUAGAAUUCCAGGUGUAGCGGUGAAAUGCGUAGAGAUCUGGAGGAAUACCGAUGGCGAAGGCAGCCAUCUGGCCUAAUACUGACGCUGAGGUACGAAAGCAUGGGGAGCAAACAGGAUUAGAGACCCCAGUAGUCCCUGUCUCUUAUAC
rnacentral:rRNA from 1 species